rnacentral:rRNA from 1 species
GACGAACGCUGGCGGCGUGCUUAACACAUGCAAGUCGAACGGAAAGGCCCUGCUUUUGUGGGGUGCUCGAGUGGCGAACGGGUGAGUAACACGUGAGUAACCUGCCCUUGACUUUGGGAUAACUUCAGGAAACUGGGGCUAAUACCGGAUAGGAGCUCCUGCUGCAUGGUGGGGGUUGGAAAGUUUCGGCGGUUGGGGAUGGACUCGCGGCUUAUCAGCUUGUUGGUGGGGUAGUGGCUUACCAAGGCUUUGACGGGUAGCCGGCCUGAGAGGGUGACCGGCCACAUUGGGACUGGGAUACGGCCCAGACUCCUACGGGAGGCAGCAGUGGGGUAUAUUGCACAAUGGGCGGAAGCCGGAUGCAGCAACGCCGCGUGCGGGAUGACGGCCUUCGGGUUGUAAACCGCUUUCGCCUGUGACGAAGCGUGAGUGACGGUAAUGGGUAAAGAAGCACCGGCUAACUACGUG